ensembl:misc_RNA 7SK 7SK RNA
AAAUGUGAGGAUGAUCUGGUUGCGACAUCUGUCACCCACGGUGGCCAGGGCAGGUCACUCCUUCCUCUCUCACCACUUCACGUCCCUCCCAAAACUGCACACACAGUCAAAGAGGACGCCCACCCUGACAGAGGACAUUGCUUGGUCAAGGGUACACAGGUAGCUAUGCUCCCUGCCAGAGCCACCAAAUGAGCUCUCAAACACUACCAGGAGCCUGGGCCCCAGCAUCAGAUGCACUGUUCUAAUUAAAGGAGGUGUGGUCAUUGUGGCCGCUUGUCCCCAA